rnacentral:lncRNA from 10 species
AAAUUAAGAUGUUAAUCUUAAUUUGUAUUAAUCUGGACUAAAGUGUCAACCAACCACUAAGAAAAUAACUCAAAAAUAUACAGAAACAAGAAGAUAAUUAAAAUAGUAUAUUAGAAAACAGUUGUCUAACACACAAGAAGGCAGUAAUGGAAAGAGUGAGGAAUAAAAAAAUAAGACACACAGAAAACAAAUAGCAAAAUGACAGAUGUAAAUCCCACCUUAUAAUUAUAUUAAAUGUAAAGAGACUAAACAAUCAUAUGGCAAAGAGUAGAAAUGUGGAUAUAAAAAAUAUCCAACACUAUUAUGUCUACAACGCACUUUAUAUUCAAAGACACAAAUAAGUUGAAAGGGAAAGGAUAGAAAAGACAUGUCAUGCAAAUAGGAACAAAAGAGUGUUGGGGUCGCUGUACCAAUGUAGGUUAUACACAGUAAACUUAGAGACAGAAACUGUUACUACAAAGAGCAGCAUUUUAUAAUGAUAAAGCGUGGAUUCAUCAGGAAGACAUAACAUAAACAUGUUAUAAACACGCAUGCAGGUAACGGCAGAGUCCCAAAACACAUGAAGCAAGAACUGACAGAACUGGAGGGAGACAUCAAUCAAUAACAACAGUUGGAGAAUUCAAUACCCUGCUCUGAAUAAUGGAUAGAACAAUUAGGCAGAAGACCAACAAAGAAAGAGGAUAUUUGAACAACGUGAUAAGCCAAUUUGACCUAAUAAAUAUCUUUAUCUGUGAAACACCCUAGCUUUUAGCCUGGGUAAGGAGCUGGAGAGAUGUGAAAAUGUGGAAAGCAAGCCUAAGUCGCAGUGUGGCCUAUGCCUGAGAGCCAUCUUCAGUGCCCCCUUGUGGCUGUAUCUGGGAACCACAGACAGAAUCAUGGAACUGACCAUCUUCAGUCUCAAAGUGCUGCCCUCACCACUACACCCAGGGGCAGGUGGUCUUCGGGGGAAAGGCGGUUCCAGUUCCUUCUCCCAAGCCAGUGAGGAAGUCAAUCCUGCGAACAACUGCAGGAACGGCCUUGGGAGUGGAUCCUUCCUCAGCCCGGCUCCAAGACAACUGCAGCCCUGUGAGAAACCCUGAGUGGAGGACCAAGCCAAGCCUCAAAUCGUGACUUGGAACUGGGAGACAACAGAUGCUGUUGGAAGCCACUGAGCUCUGAAGUAGUUUGUUACACAGUGACAGAAUCUAGGAUCUGGGGAAGGUAAACUGAGGCCACCAGUAAGCAUGUGCUCCAGGCCAAGGCUGAGUCUGUGCUGCAUCCAUGUCAUCAGCCACCCAAGAAAAACCAGUUACUCCACCUAGCUCAUGGUGGCGGCAUCCUCCCUGCAAUGGUGCAUGGGGGGCAGUCCUUUCCCCUGCAGGGUGUCAUUGCCACCCCCAUCCUCAUCCUGGAGGCCAGUCCAGGCUCCGAUAUGAGUGACUAGGGGUGAGGUAGGGGUGGCAGAAGGGAGAUCAAACUGGAGCAUUCCAGAUGCCUACUACUGCCCUCACACAACGGGGCAACUGUGCUCUCCAACUCCUCCCCUUGGCAGAGAAACUGGUCCUGCAGUUUCAGGACUAGACGAGCGUGGGGUAGUGGCAAUAAAGGGGCUUGUAUGAGAAGUG